UACGGGGGGAGCAAGCGUUGUUCGGAUUUACUGGGCGUAAAGGGCGCGUAGGCGGCCAGUGCAAGUCAGUUGUGAAAUCUUGGAGCUUAACUCCGAAACUGCAUUCGAUACUGCCGUGCUUGAGGACUGGAGAGGAGACUGGAAUUUACGGUGUAGCGGUGAAAUGCGUAGAUAUCGUAAGGAAGACCAGUGGCGAAGGCGGGUCUCUGGACAGUUCCUGACGCUGAAGCACGAAGGCCAGGGGAGCAAACGGG
rnacentral:rRNA from 1 species